GGACGAACGCUGGCGGCGUGCCUAAUACAUGCAAGUCGAACGAACCGCAACGAGAACUUGUUCUGGUUAAGGUUAGUGGCGCACGGGUGAGUAACACGUGGGGAACCUGCCCUUUAGUGGGGGAUAACAGUCGGAAACGACUGCUAAUACCGCAUAGACAAYUUAACCGCCUGGUUAARUUGGGAAAGGUGCUACGGCAUCAUUAAAGGAUGGCCCCGCGGUGCAUUAGCUAGUUGGUAAGGUAACGGCUUACCAAGGCGAUGAUGCAUAGCCGACCUGAGAGGGUGAUCGGCCACAUUGGGACUGAGACACGGCCCAAACUCCUACGGGAGGCAGCAGUAGGGAAUCUUCCGCAAUGGACGCAAGUCUGACGGAGCAACGCCGCGUGUGUGAAGAAGGUUUUCGGAUCGUAAAGCACUGUUGUUAGAGAAGAACGGCUACUAGAGGAAAUGUUAGUAGAUUGACGGUAUCUAACCAGAAAGCCACGGCUAACUAC
rnacentral:rRNA from 1 species